GUUUGCUACAAUUUGGUGGCCCAACAAUCACCUCCAAUUUUGGUUCAAUCACAAUAUCCGUCAAAACCCAGGGGGUUGUCUGUGAAAGUGGUGUCUUCCUGCUGCACUGAAUGUCCAAUAUUUGGUAAGGUUGAGGUUAAACAUGUCAUUUCUGGUCUUGCGGCAUCAAUCCUAUUUCUCUCUCAAAGUAGCAUGGCUUUUGCAGCAGACCUCCCUCAUUACAACAGUGUAUUUCAACUUGCAAAUGUCGCGGACAGCAUGCCAACACUUCCUUUGGAGAAGGGAAAUGAUGGUGGAAAGCUGAUGAUGAUGCGAGGCAUGACAGCGAAAGACUUUGAUCCAAUCAGGUAUUCUGGAAGAUGGUUCGAAGUAGCUUCCCUUAAACGUGGAUUUGCUGGACAAGGU
rnacentral:misc_RNA from 1 species